rnacentral:rRNA from 1 species
GUGGGGAAUCUUGCACAAUGGAGGAAACUCUGAUGCAGCGACGCCGCGUGAGCGAUGAAGCCCUUCGGGGUGUAAAGCUCUUUCGUCAGGGAAGAUAGUGACGGUACCUGGAGAAGCAGCUGCGGCUAACUACGUGCCAGCAGCCGCGGUAAUACGUAGGCAGCAAGCGUUGUUCGGAGUUACUGGGCGUAAAGGGUGUGUAGGCGGCCUUCUAAGUUUGGUGUGAAAUCUCCCGGCUCAACCGGGAGGGUGCGCCGAAGACUGGGGGGCUAGAGGAUGGGAUGGGAAAGUGGAAUUCCUGGUGUAGCGGUGAAAUGCGUAGAUAUCAGGAGGAACACCUGCGGUGUAGACGGCUUUCUGGACCAACCCUGACGCUGAGACACGAAAGCGUGGGUAGCAAACAGG